rnacentral:rRNA from 1 species
AGUGUGAAUUGCAGAAUUCAGUGAAUCAUCGAAUCUUUGAACGCACAUUGCGCCCCUUGGUAUUCCAUGGGGCAUGCCUGUUCGAGCGUCAUUUGUACCUUCAAGCUCUGCUUGGUGUUGGGUGUUUGUCUCCUGUAGACUCGCCUUAAAACAAUUGGCAGCCGGCGUAUUGAUUUCGGAGCGCAGUACAUCUCGCGCUUUGCACUCAUAACGACGACAUCCAAAAGUACAUUUUUACACUCUUGACCUCGGAUCAGGUAGAGAUACCCGCUGAACUUAAGCAUAUCAAUAAGCGGAGGA